rnacentral:rRNA from 1 species
GUCUACAGUCAUAUUACCCUGCACAUGCCUGAUCUCACCUGAACUUGGAUGCUAAGCAGGGUCAGGCCUAGUUAGUACUCAGAUGGGAGACCACCCGGGAAUGCCAGGUGCUUAUGCU